AUACCUUUUUCAGCCUUUUGGCUAAGAUCAUGUGCAGUAUUUGUUCUUAUCAGUUUAAUAUUUGAUAUGUGGCCCAUUAAUCCACACGAUAUUAAAUUAAAUUUUUUUUUACGGGAAAGACUCACAACAAUAGCUUGAACCCAUUCUGAAACCCGCGACCUCAACGGGAUAUGGGUUAGAGAGAGAUGCUCCUCCUUCUCUCUAACCUCUUGCUG
rnacentral:snRNA from 1 species